AGCGAACGUUAGCGGCGGGCCUAACACAUGCAAGUCGAACGCGAAAGGUCUUCGGACUGAUUAGAGUGGCGCACGGGUGAGUAACACGUAGGUAAUCUACCCUUUGGCGGGGGAUAACGUUCCGAAAGGAGCGCUAAUACCGCAUAAGACCACGGAGUCUCCGGACGCUGUGGGAAAAGGUGGCCUCUUCUUGAAAGCUAUCACCGGAGGAUGAGCCUGCGUCCCAUCAGCUAGUUGGUAAGGUAAUGGCUUACCAAGGCAAAGACGGGUAGCUGGUUUGAGAGAAUGAUCAGCCACACUGGCACUGGAACACGGGCCAGACUCCUACGGGAGGCAGCAGUGAGGAAUAUUGGGCAAUGGGCGAAAGCCUGACCCAGCCACGCCGCGUGAGUGAUGAAGGCCCUCGGGUCGUAAAGCUCUGUGGAGAGGGACGAAAAACCUGGGGUCUAAUAGGCCCCGGACUUGACGGUACCUCUUUAGCAAGCACCGGCUAACUCUGUGCCAGCAGCCGCGG
rnacentral:rRNA from 1 species